ACUCCUACGGGAGGCAGCAGUGGGGAAUAUUGCACAAUGGGCGCAAGCCUGAUGCAGCCAUGCCGCGUGUGUGAAGAAGGCCUUCGGGUUGUAAAGCACUUUCAGUCGUGAGGAAGGUAGUGUAGUUAAUAGCUGCAUUAUUUGUACGUUAGCGACAGAAGAAGCACCGGCUAACUCCGUGCCAGCAGCCGCGGUAAUACGGAGGGGUGCGAGCGUUAAUCGGAAUUACUGGGCGUAAAGCGCAUGCAGGUGGUUUGUUAAGUCAGAUGUGAAAGCCCGGGGCUCAACCUCGGAAUUGCAUUUGAAACUGGCAGGCUAGAGUACUGUAGAGGGGGUAGAAUUUCAGGUGUAGCGGUGAAAUGCGUAGAGAUCUGAAGGAAUACCGGUGGCGAAGGCGGCCCCCUGGGCAGAUACUGACACUCGGAUGCGAAAGCGUGGGGAGCAAACAGGAUUAGAUACCCUGGUAGGAUAGCG
rnacentral:rRNA from 1 species